rnacentral:rRNA from 1 species
AGUGAACGCUGGCGGUAGGCCUAACACAUGCAAGUCGAACGGCAGCACAGUAAGAGCUUGCUCUUACGGGUGGCGAGUGGCGGACGGGUGAGGAAUACAUCGGAAUCUACUUUUUCGUGGGGGAUAACGUAGGGAAACUUACGCUAAUACCGUAUACGACCUACGGGUGAAAGCAGGGGAUCUUCGGACCUUGCGCGAGUGAAUGAGCCGAUGUCGGAUUAGCUAGUUGGCGGGGUAAAGGCCCACCAAGGCGACGAUCCGUAGCUGGUCUGAGAGGAUGAUCAGCCACACUGGAACUGAGACACGGUCCAGACUCCUACGGGAGGCAGCAGUGGGGAAUAUUGGACAAUGGGCGCAAGCCUGAUCCAGCCAUACCGCGUGGGUGAAGAAGGCCUUCGGGUUGUAAAGCCCUUUUGUUGGGAAAGAAAAGCAGCAGGUUAAUACCCCGCUGUUCUGACGGUACCCAAAGAAUAAGCACCGGCUAACUUCGUG